rnacentral:rRNA from 1 species
AUGGCUCGACCCGAGGAAAACGCGAAAUUCCCUAGCUGUGAUGCCUACUUUGACACUAUCCAGUCCAAGAAGAAGCUCCCGCUAGCUUUGCAAGAGUCACUGACCGCCGCCUUUGCUCAGAUCCCAGUCGCGUCGUUUCCUGAUGUUCCUAGUGGCCGGGUGACUGAAAUUCCUGGAGAAACUUCUGUGCUUGAUGCUGUUAGAAUUUUAUCUGAGCACAACAUAAGGGCGGCGCCAGUGCUUAACCCUGAACCUGGGGUUCCGGCCGAUUGGCAAGGGAGGUAUCUUGGCAUCAUCGAGUACUCAGCCAUCAUCCUUUGGGUACUAGAUAAUGCUGAUCUCGCGGCCGUAGCUCUGUCAGCUGGAUCGGCAACUGCCGCAGGAGUUGGAAUGGGCGCUGUUGGUGCAGUGGGCGUGGCAGCAUUAGGUGCAACCGGCCCGGCAGCUGUCGCUGGAUUGACUGCUGCUGCAGUAGGGGCUGCUGUUGCUGGCGGGUUAACUGCUGAAAAGGGUGUUGCCAAGGAUGGAGUAACUGCUGCCGAUCAUUUAGGGGAAGAUUUCUACAAAGUUCUGCUUCAGCAAGAACCUUUCAAAUCGACUACAGUUCGAUCAAUUGUGGAGUCCUACCCAUGGUCUCCUUUUGUACCUGUUACGCUUGACAGUUCAAUGCUUGCUGUACUACUGUUGCUCUCCAAGUAUAGGUUGAGGAAUGUCCCUGUGAUCGAACCUGAUAAGCCAGUUAUUAAGAACUUCAUUACUCAGACUGGUGUUGUUAAAGGGCUUCAGCAGUGUAAAGGAAGGGAUUGGUUUGACUAUAUUUCGGCACUUCCUCUUUCAGAUUUGGGGCUUCCAUUUAUGUCGCUUGAUGAGGUUAUUACGGUUAACAGUGAUGAUCUAAUCUUAGAAGCUUUCAAGUGCAUGAAGGAUAACAAAAUUGGCGGUGUACCCGUAGUAGAAGGUCCCCGAAGGAAACUUGUUGGUAGUGUGAGCAUAAGGGACAUUCGCUUCCUGUUGCUUAGGCCUGACUUAUUUUCUGAUUUCAGGCACCUUACCGUCUUGGAGUUCAUGAAUGCUCUUGGUUCCACUCUUCCUGAUUCAGGGGGCAAUGGACUGGUGAAGCCGCCGCUCACCUGUGCACCUGAUGCCUCUAUGGGCAGCGUGAUCGACAGCAUCGGAUCGAGGAUAACCCACCGGAUAUACGUGGUGGAUGGUGACUUUGAGGUGGUCGGUGUUGUGACACUGCGAGACGUGAUCUCUUGCUUUAUCCACGAGCCCCCUGGCUUCUGCGACAGUUAUCUUGCUUCAGCGAUGGAGAAGCUCGAGGACAAGGGCGAUGCCGAUUCCUCCGUUGAGAACAGCUGA